CCUACGGGAGGCAGCAGUGAGGAAUAUUGGUCAAUGGGCGUAAGCCUGAACCAGCCAAGUCGCGUGAGGGAUGAAGGUUCUAUGGAUCGUAAACCUCUUUUAUAAGGGAAUAAAGUGUGGGACGUGUCCUGUUUUGUAUGUUCCUUAUGAAUAAGGAUCGGCUAACUCCGUGCCAGCAGCCGCGGUAAUCCGGAGGAUCCGAGCGUUAUCCGGAUUUAUUGGGUUUAAAGGGUGCGUAGGCGGCCUUUUAAGUCAGCGGUGAAAGUCUGUGGCUCAACCAUAGAAUUGCCGGUGAAACUGGGAGGCUUGAGUAUGGUUGAGGCAGGCGGAAUGCGUGGUGUAGCGGUGAAAUGCUUAGAUAUCACGCAGAACCCCGAUUGCGAAGGCAGCCUGCCAAGCCAUGACUGACGCUGAUGCACGAAAGCGUGGGGAUCAAACAGGAUUAGAUACCCCGGUAGUC
rnacentral:rRNA from 1 species